GUUUACAGUUUGUUUAGAGGAUUACAGUUUGUUUAGAGGAUUUACAUUUGUUUAGAGGAUUUACAGUUUGUUUAGAGGUUUACAGUUUGAUUACAGUUUGUUUAGAGGUUUACAGUUUGUUUAGAGGUUUACAGUUUGUUUACAGUUUGUUUAGAGGUUUACAGUUUGUUUACAGUUUGUUUAGAGGAUUUACAGUUUGUUUAGAGGAUUUACAGUUUGUUUAGAGGUUUACAGUCUGUUUAGAGGUUUACAGUUUGUUUAGAGGAUUUACAGUUUGUUUACAGUUUGUUUAGAGGUUUACAGUCUGUUUAGAGGGUUUACAGUUUGUUUACAGUUUGUUUCGAGGUUUACAGUCUGUUUAGAGGGUUUACAGUUUGUUUAGAGGGUUACAGUUUGUUUAGAGGUUUACAGUUUGACAGCGCCACUUUUUCUACAGACAAACAUUAGUCACAGGAUUGCAAAGGGAAGGUCAGAUGCAGAUAAGGGGU
rnacentral:lncRNA from 1 species